AUUGAACGCUGGCGGCAUGCUUUACACAUGCAAGUCGAACGGUAACAGGCCGCAAGGUGCUGACGAGUGGCGAACGGGUGAGUAAUGCAUCGGAACGUGCCCAGUCGUGGGGGAUAACGCAGCGAAAGCUGUGCUAAUACCGCAUACGAUCUAUGGAUGAAAGCGGGGGACCGUAAGGCCUCGCGCGAUUGGAGCGGCCGAUGUCAGAUUAGGUAGUUGGUGGGGUAAAGGCUCACCAAGCCAACGAUCUGUAGCUGGUCUGAGAGGACGACCAGCCACACUGGGACUGAGACACGGCCCAGACUCCUACGGGAGGCAGCAGUGGGGAAUUUUGGACAAUGGGCGCAAGCCUGAUCCAGCAAUGCCGCGUGCAGGAAGAAGGCCUUCGGGUUGUAAACUGCUUUUGUACGGAACGAAACGGUCUGGGU
rnacentral:rRNA from 1 species